rnacentral:rRNA from 1 species
GAUGAACGCUGGCGGCGUGCCUAAUACAUGCAAGUCGAGCGAACGGACGAGAAGCUUGCUUUUCUGAUGUUAGCGGCGGACGGGUGCGUAACACGUGGAUAACCUACCUAUAAGACUGGGAUAACUUCGCGAAACCGGAGCUAAUACCGGAUAAUAUUUUGAACCGCAUGGUUCAAAAGUGAAAGACGGUCUUGCUGUCACUUAUAGAUGGAUCCGCGCUGCAUUAGCUAGUUGGUAAGGUAACGGCUUACCAAGGCAACGAUGCAUAGCCGACCUGAGAGGGUGGACGGCCACACUGGAACUGAGACAGGGUCCAGACUCCUACGGGAGGAAGCAGUAGGGAAUCUUCCGCAAGGGGCGAAAGCCUGACGGAGCAACGCCGCGUGAGUGAUGAAGGUGUUCGGAUCGUAAAACUCUGUUAUUAGGGAAGAACAAAUGUGUAAGUAACUGUGCACAUCUUGACGGUACCUAAUGAGAAAGCCACGGCUAACUACGUG